rnacentral:sRNA from 2 species
CGCCCGUCAAACCACGGGAGCUGGUAAUGCCCGAAGUCGGUUUUGUUAACUACGGAAACAACCGCCUAAGGCAGGACUGGUGACUGGGGUUAAGUCGUAACAAGGUAUCCCUACGAGAACGUGGGGAUGGAUCACCUCCUUUCUACGGAGUACAAUUAUUAGUUAAUUAAUUAACUAACUUUACCUUAAGACUAUUAUUAACAUUUGAUCAUGUACAUUGAAGUAGUGCAAUGAUAUAUCUAGUUUUGAGAGAACUUUCUCUCAUUAUGUUCUUUGAAAACUGAAUAGUAAAGAUAAAUUAAUAUAACAACGACAUCAAAAAAACAAUUAGUCAAUUUGUUUUGUGAUACCGAGUUGAUAAUUAUUAGCAAUAAUAAUUUAUUAAAAUGUCUUUGAAUACAUCAACAAUAGGAAAAUACAUAACUUUUAAAUAAGUAAGAGUUUGUGGUGGAUGCCUUGGGUCUGGAAGUCGAUGAAGGACGUGAUUACCUGCGAUAAGCCUCGUGGAGCUGGAUAUACGCUACGAUACGGGGAUUUCCGAAUGGGGAAACCUAGUUAGGGGAAAGCCUAACUGCUCAGCGAUGAAUAUAUAGUCGCUGCAGACGAGACACGUUGUGAACUGAAACAUCUUAGUAGCAACAGGAAGAGAAAAUAAAUAAUGAUUCCAUCAGUAGCGGCGAGCGAACGUGGAAGAGCCCAAACCAACAUAUGUUGGGGUUGUAGGACUAUCUACAUGAAGUUACAAAAUUUUGUUAUAGCAGAAUUAGUUGGGAAACUAAAGCACAGAGGGUGAGACUCCCGUAUGCGAAAUGGCAAAAUCUUCUGAUAGUAUCCUGAGUAGGGCGGGGCACGUGAAACCCUGUCUGAAUCUGCCGGGACCAUCCGGUAAGGCUAAAUACUAACCAGACACCGAUAGUGAACUA